CCAAAAAAAGCUCAACAAUUUUGGCUGCCUCUCCCUAACAAAAAUCUGACACUAUAUCCCUAUCUCUUUCAGACUAGUGUUUAUCAGGGGGUGGGUGUUUCUAAGACAUGCAAGUUUUUCCACACAAUGCCAUUGGCCUCAAAACGCCAGUCCACCUUUUCCUCUGCAUUUAGUCUGGAUUACCCUUUUGGUGAAAAAUAUGAUAAAUUCAUAUUUACGAGGACUGAUGCCAGAAAACUGUGUGCACUACCUGAACCACAUGUUUACAGUAUUAAACCCCCAUCUGGAAGCAGUUCUCUCUGACUUCACCUAACAGAGCAUCAAAUUCCCCAGCUAUCAAUUUUCCAUUCACUCUCCGCUUACACUUCCAUAGACUCAUUGAAGUCAAUGAUAUUUAAGUUAGGCACCACCCGUUGAUUUCAACCGCUUAAUCAUGAAUAAAGUCUGGAUCUAGCCAAUUAUUUGUGUAUACCAGAUGUACAAAAGCAGUACACUGUCUCUAAACUGACCACAUCUGUGGUCAGUGAAAGCUUGCCAUUUUACAAAUGGGAGUAAUAUAUAACUAGCCAGCAUUCAUUUCCGUUUUUUUUUUAAAAAAAGGUUUCCAUUGUAAAUAAGAGAACGAUUGUGUUGGAAAGCUGGAUUAAAAAUAAGAUUACGUGGCAAA